AGUCAUACCUUGCAGGGGAAAUACCAUGUCAUAAAAAUGGCUAUGCUGGAGGGGAGGCUCAUCCAUUGCACUUUGGGUGUGCUAAUGAUCCCUGUGAUUUCCCCAAAUGUGGGGAACUCAACUGCAUAAUUUGUGUUAAAGGAAGAUUGCACUUGUGAUUAGCCCUA
rnacentral:snRNA from 1 species